GACAUGUAGGUGACAUGUAGUCAAAGCUACUUGGGAGGCUGAGGCAGGAAGAUCAGUUGAGCCCAGAAGUUCUGGGCUGUAGUGCGCUGUGCUGAUCAAGUGUCUGUACUGUUUGGCGUUGAUAUAGUGACCUCCUGGGAGCUGGGGAUCACCAGGUUGCCUAAGGUGGGGUGAAGCAGCCCAGGUUGGAAGCAGCAGAUCAGAGUAGUGGGAUUUUGCUUGUGAAUAGCCACUGCACUCCAGUGUGGGCAACAUAGCAAAACCCCCUCUCUU
rnacentral:SRP_RNA from 1 species